UACGUAGGGGGCAAGCGUUGUCCGGAAUUAUUGGGCGUAAAGCGCGCGCAGGCGGCUAUUUAAGUCUGGUGUUUAAACCUUGGGCUCAACCUAAGGUCGCACUGGAAACUGGGUGGCUUGAGUACAGAAGAGGAAAGUGGAAUUCCACGUGUAGCGGUGAAAUGCGUAGAUAUGUGGAGGAACACCAGUGGCGAAGGCGACUUUCUGGGCUGUAACUGACGCUGAGGCGCGAAAGCGUGGGGAGCAAACAGG
rnacentral:rRNA from 1 species